AACGAACGCUGGCGGCAUGCCUAACACAUGCAAGUCGAACGAUGCCUCCGGGCAUAGUGGCGCACGGGUGCGUAACGCGUGGGAAUCUGCCCUUGGGUUCGGAAUAACUCGCCGAAAGGCGAGCUAAUACCGGAUGAUGACGUAAGUCCAAAGAUUUAUCGCCCAAGGAUGAGCCCGCGUAGGAUUAGCUAGUUGGUGGGGUAAAGGCCCACCAAGGCGACGAUCCUUAGCUGGUCUGAGAGUAUGAUCAGCCACACUGGGACUGAGACACGGCCCAGACUCCUACGGGAGGCAGCAGUGGGGAAUAUUGGACAAUGGGCGAAGGCCUGAUCCAGCAAUGCCGCGUGAGUGAUGAAGGCCUUAGGGUUGUAAAGCUCUUUUACCCGGGAUGAUAAUGACAGUACCGGGAGAAUAAGCUCCGGCUAACUCCGUG
rnacentral:rRNA from 1 species